rnacentral:rRNA from 1 species
GCAGUCGCCACGGUAAUACAGAGGGUGCGAGCGUUAAUCGGAUUUACUGGGCGUAAAGCGUGCGUAGGCGGCUAAUUGAGUCGGAUGUGAAAUCCCUGAGCUUAACUUAGGAAUUGCAUUCGAUACUGGGAAGCUAGAGUAUGGGAGAGGAUGGUAGAAUUCCAGGUGUAGCGGUGAAAUGCGUAGAGAUCUGGAGGAAUACCGAUGGCGAAGGCAGCCAUCUGGCCUAAUACUGACGCUGAGGUACGAAAGCAUGGGGAGCAAACAGGAUUAGAUACCCGUGUAGUCCCUGUCUCUUAUAC